AAGGAUAGAGAUGUUGGUGACAGUGAACACGAGGUGGUGAAGGUGGAACGAGAUGGGAAGAGUAUGGAUACUGAUGCUGGUUCUGCUUCAGCCGAGCAGAGUAGCAAGAAAAAGAGUAAAAAAAGAAGAAUUGAAGGAGAUGAGUAAUUGAAUUUCGUUGAGUCUUGUUGCUGUUGUUGAGGAUUAGAGUUAGUGUAACACCUGCGGAAAUCCUCACUGUUCAAGUAAUUUUUUUGAAAUAUUGAUUCAAUUUGAAAUGAUUAUGGAGAUU
rnacentral:misc_RNA from 1 species